rnacentral:rRNA from 1 species
AGUGAACGCUGGCGGUAGGCCUAACACAUGCAAGUCGAACGGCAGCACAGUAAGAGCUUGCUCUUACGGGUGGCGAGUGGCGGACGGGUGAGGAAUACAUCGGAAUCUACUUUUUCGUGGGGGAUAACGUAGGGAAACUUACGCUAAUACCGCAUACGACCUAGGGGUGAAAGGAGGGGAUCUUCGGACCUUGCGGGAUUGAAUGAGCCGAUGUCGGAUUAGCUAGUUGGCGGGGUAAAGGCCAACCAAGGCGAGGAUCCGUAGCUGGUCUGAGAGGAUGAUCAGCCACACUAGAACUGAGACACGGUCCAGACUCCUACGGGAGGCAGCAGUGGGGAAUAUUGGACAAUGGGCGCAAGCCUGAUCCAGCCAUACCGCGUGGGUGAAGAAGGCCUUCGGGUUGUAAAGCCCUUUUGUUGGGAAAGAAAAGCAGCAGGUUAAUACCCCGCUGUUCUGACGGUACCCAAAGAAUAAGCACCGGCUAACUUCGUG